rnacentral:rRNA from 1 species
CUUUUCUUGAAUUUUAAUAUGAGAUAUGACCUGCCCACUGAUAAAUUUGAAGGGCCGCGGUAUUUUGACCGUGCAAAGGUAGCAUAAUCAUUAGUCUUUUAAUUGUGGACUGGAAUGAAUGGUUGGACGAGGAAUAUACUGUUUCUUAUUAUUUUAUUGAAUUUAAUUUUUAAGUUAAAAAGCUUAAAUUUAUUUAUAGGACGAGAAGACCCUAUAGAGUUUAUAUACAUUAUUCUAUUUAUUUUGUUUGUUUAUUUUAUUUAGUAUUUAAUAUAUUUUAUUGGGGUGAUUGGAAGAAUUAAUUAACUCUUUUUGUUUAAAUAUACAUUAAUUUAUGAAUACUUGAUCCAAUUUUGUUGAUUAUAAGAUUAAAUUACCUUAGGGAUAACAGCGUAAUCUUUUUUGAGAGUUCUUAUUGAUAAAUGGGGUUGCGACCUCGAUGUUGGAUUAAGAUUUAAUUUGGGUGUAGAAUUUCAAUUUGUUUAGGUCUGUUCGACCUUUAAAAUCUUACA